rnacentral:lncRNA from 1 species
GACCCUGCUUAUCACGAUACUAAUAUAUUUUGAUAAUUCUACAGGAAUUAUUUGGUGGUAUACGACGUCCACCAAAUUGGCGCCGUUGCCGGGGAGCGGUGUUAAUUAAUUCUUUUCCCUUUGUCUAUUUUUUUUCUUUUAUUUUCUUUGUUUAUGAGCAGAUCGUCCAAGCCGAACCUCCUCUACGAUAGUGAAAUUGAGAAGACCGCGAAGAAACUAAGGAAAGAGGCGAAGGCGAGGAAGUUACUGGAUCUGCUGGAUUCACAGUCCGACCUUUCUGUUCGAACGGAGCAGUUAGUCGAGGAGAAGCCUGGUGCUGU